rnacentral:rRNA from 1 species
UUACAUCUCUUCGGAGCAUUUUACGAGGUGCUGCAUGGUUGUCGUCAGCUCGUGCCGUGAGGUGUCGGGUUAAGUCCCAUAACGAGCGCAACCCUACCUUAGUUGCCAUCAGGUAAUGCUGGGGACUCUAAAGGAACUGCCUACGCAAGUAGUGAGGAAGGCGGGGAUGACGUCAAAUCAGCACGGCCCUUACGUCCAGGGCUACACACGUGCUACAAUGGCCGAUACAGAGGGCAGCUACCUGGUGACAGGAUGCAAAUCUCCAAAGUCGGUCUCAGUUCGGAUCGGAGUCUGCAACCCGACUCCGUGAAGUUGGAUUCGCUAGUAAUCGCGCAUCAGCCAUGGCGCGGUGAAUACGGUUCCCGGGCCUU